GCACCCUGCAAGGAUGCCAUCACCAGCCUGUGCUGCCCGGGGUGCGUCUGUGGACUCUCCCACAGCAUGUACCAGUUUCUCCCAUAGUUAUUUCACUUUAAUCUGUGUACUGAGCCAAGCCCAGCCAGUGACAGCUCAGCGUAGUAAAUCAGAAACAGUGAAUAUUUUGAAAAUCUGAAAUAAUUUCCUGCUGCAGUCAUGGAGAGGAGACCAGAGGUGACUGAAGAUCCUUUCCUCAAGCCCUGGUCGGUCACCUGUGGCAGAGGCUGGAAAGAAACUGACUGAAGAUCCUUUCCUCAAGCCCUGGUCGGUCACCUGUGGCAGAGGCUGGAGAGAACCUGACUCUACAAGCAGGCUUCUGCUUUAAACUCAGCAAGAUCCACAGUCAUCUGCAGAGGAUUUCUGAAAUUAUGGAAGGACUGAUGCAGAUCUGGGAGACACAUGGCUCUUCUGACUCCACUCGCAGCCUCUCCCCACUUGCCUGGCUUUCAGAGAUUGGUCUCUAGGCAUGAUCCUAUACCGCUUGCUCGGGGAUGUGGUCUCCCUCCUGCUCUGGGAAUCAGCAAGCUCAGAGGUAGUGACUGUCCAUAUUUCUCAUGAGUUCUUGACUCUGAGGUUUCAGACUUCUCCAAAAGGUUUCUCUGAGUCAUUCUGGGGACAUCUACGACCCAUCAUCAAGCAAGUCAAGGAAAUUCAGAGCUCCUCGUAUACUGUAUGUAAAUGUUCGCAAGUACAAAGUGCACUUCAUUUUACUGCAGACCUAAGCUAAGACACAAGCUUGAGAAGCCUGCCUGUUUGAUCCCCGGGGGGCAGCCUGCCUGCCUUCAGGCAAAGCACAGAUCCUCUUCAAUAAAGCCGAACGUGAGAGGGCAGCUUUUCAUGAGAUUAAUUUUUGAAUGGGUGCUACUAUGACUAUAUUUAGAAGACAUUUGAAGCAAUAUAAAAAGGUAAACCUCCAGCCAGCACCAUAAAGACUGUUUGAGAGCAACACCACCUACAGAGCUCUCAAGCCACCUGACGAACUUCUUUGAUGCAUCUGAUCCAUGGGUUGCAAGAUGUUAGCUGUGUGAAGCAUGUAAAAUAUUCUGUCAUGGAAGUGCAGUGAAAAUCCCUCCCCAGAUAUAAUUGACUCAGAGAGACAACAUUCACCCUGGCUCAGAAGACUUGCAUCAAACCAAGACAUCACGUAAAUAUGAAGACACAAAACCUGUCUGCACAAGUCCUGCUCAGACCUCUCUGCAGACAGGGCAAACAGAACUGCUGCUGAAGCAAUCAUGUCAUUUUAAGGCUUGCUUUUCACAGCUAUAUCCUCUCUUUCCGUACAGCUCCCCAAGCUUGCAGAGCUUACAGUUCCUUUUCAUUUCCUUCAAGGUCCUGACACUCAAGGUCCAAUUAUAGCUUAUGGCCCCAUGCUCUGCUUUGGGAUGCUGGGUUUCCUUCAGCAGAACCCCCAUCAUCAGACCAGGCUCCUCCUCACUCUCUGUGAGGUGAGUCUGUGGCUGUGCACGUGGCAGGAGCUCUCCAGAGGCAUCACAGAUUUGACAAACAGAGCCAGGAGAGGAACAACAGUAUCAAAAAGAGAGGCAGCACCAGCACAGUGACGGGUGUUACGCGUGGUCAUGUCACCCUAUUGUAUCUACACAGUCAUGCUCAGAAAUCCAGCUAUCUUCUGCCAGCUGCUCAGUGGUACUUCUUGGCUACAACUGCUGCUAGUGUAGGGCAACUGCCCAGCUGUGAGGGACGGUGACCUCUCCUGCCAGCACUCCUUAGGGGCAGCAUCUCCAGGUCAGCUUUACCAGUGGGGAGCGCAGCAGCUCUCAUUUUGUUAGGUUGUUUUUACACACGAAGAAUGACUGAGAAGAUGCACAGGCUGUUGACACCCAGCACUCUAAUAUGCUGAAGUUGGAUCCUGUUCUGCUCAGAGGGUCUGAUAGUAUCAGCCUCCAGAGAAUCAGUGUCUGACACUCCCAGUCUGUUGUUCAUAUUGGUUUGGUCUCAACUGAGCUAUUUCUAACAAUGAAGAACAUAUCUGAGAGAGUUACAAUUUGCUGUAAUCAUAUUUUUCCAGUUUUUCUCUGUGAUAAUUACUCCCAUAAAUAUCAUUGCUUCACCUCUGCUCAACAGAGUGCUCUCUAUUCUGUGCUCAGUCUCAACCUUCCACAGAUUGCUGGGGAAGGACAAUGAUAAUAUUUGUUAUUACCAGGACUGCUCCAGCUAUGAUGCUGUUUGGGCAUCCAGUUUUAGUCUAGUUUCUGUGCUGUAUUAGCUGAUGAAAAAUUGCUGUCUGAAGUAAAACUGGCAAAGAA